UUUAAUUCCCUUUUAUUUUCUGAUUUAUUUUUAAUUGAUCCUUAAUUCAUUUUGAUCCAAUUUAUUUACACAAAGUCUUUAAAAAUAUUUUGCAUCACAUAUAUUUUUCUCUUAAUUUUUUAAAUCAUUUUAGAAUUUAUUUCAAUUUUUAUUUAUUUUUCUUUUUUAAUCUCCUUUUCCAAUUUAUUUUUUAAUUAUUUCAAAACUUUUUUGCAUCCAACUUUUGAG
rnacentral:lncRNA from 1 species